rnacentral:rRNA from 1 species
UACGUAGGGUGCAAGCGUUAAUCGGAAUUACUGGGCGUAAAGCGUGCGCAGGCGGUUAUGCAAGACAGAUGUGAAAUCCCCGGGCUCAACCUGGGAACUGCAUUUGUGACUGCAGUGCUGGAGUGCGGCAGAGGGGGAUGGAAUUCCGCGUGUAGCAGUGAAAUGCGUAGAUAUGCGGAGGAACACCGAUGGCGAAGGCAAUCCCCUGGGCCUGUACUGACGCUCAUGCACGAAAGCGUGGGGAGCAAACAGG